AGCGAACGCUGGCGGCAGGCCUAACACAUGCAAGUCGAACGGUAACAGGUCUUCGGAUGCUGACGAGUGGCGAACGGGUGAGUAAUACAUCGGAACGUGCCUAGUAGUGGGGGAUAACUACUCGAAAGAGUGGCUAAUACCGCAUGAGAUCUACGGAUGAAAGCAGGGGAUCGCAAGACCUUGUGCUACUAGAGCGGCCGAUGGCAGAUUAGGUAGUUGGUGGGAUAAAAGCUUACCAAGCCGACGAUCUGUAGCUGGUCUGAGAGGACGAUCAGCCACACUGGGACUGAGACACGGCCCAGACUCCUACGGGAGGCAGCAGUGGGGAAUUUUGGACAAUGGGCGCAAGCCUGAUCCAGCAAUGCCGCGUGCAGGAUGAAGGCCUUCGGGUUGUAAACUGCUUUUGUACGGAACGAAAAGCCCUGGGUUAAUACCCUGGGGUCAUGACGGUACCGUAAGAAUAAGCACCGGCUAACUACGUGCCAGCAGCCGCAGUAAAAC
rnacentral:rRNA from 1 species